UAUCCGGGUACAGACGCUGCUCAGACCCAGGGAGACCGAGAGCCUAGAUUGGGCUGGAAGGCCUGGGCGGCCCAGGAGGCCGAGGGGCACGUGGGAGCCAUCCUGGUGGAUGUGACGGCUGAACCCAGACGAAUGGGCUCUCUUAGGGAGAGAUGGGAGACGGGCCAAAAAGCGUAACCCAAACCUUGGGGCACACCUUGAGGCAAUAAAGAGCAAGCGGGGACACAGAAAGAGCUGCUGGGAGGUAAGCCACGCUCGUUCAAAGUGGCCCCAAGAGCGGGCGGUCCAUGGCUCGGCCACGAGGAGGCCCCCAGGAAGGAGCGCGGGGAGCCCACACAUCAUCGGUAACCGCGAAUGGGACCACUCUAGUCGACGGUGCGGACGCGCAUCAGGUAUCAGACAAGGGACAAAGAGAGGAAUGGAGACGGCCCAGGCUUUGGGACAAGACCUUUUCCCGUGUGGGGACGCACUUGGACCUCCAGAGUUGAUAUAAAGAUUAUUGGAAACAUUUGACCUACAAAAGAUGCAUACGAAAUUGUAUCUGGAAUUCUCUCGAUCUGACUAAAGCAGAGGCUCCUGAAAAUACAGCUACCAUUAACCCUUGGAAAGGAGUUGACUGCUAAUUUAGUUGCCUGGCGGAGACAGACUGCCCGUUCUAUUCGCAUCAAAAAGCCCAGUAGAACCUGCUAUGCUCUCCCAUUGAAGCCCUAAUCUCCCCUCCCCCCUUUUGUUAAAUUGAGAGACUUAAUCUUCUGGCUACUCCAGGACUUUUCAAUCACUGAGCGCUCCUACCCCUACCCAUGUGUAAAUAAAUCUUGUCUUUCCUCCUGUU